rnacentral:misc_RNA from 1 species
AAAAAAAAAAAAAUUGUAAUUAGGCCUAGAGCUAUAAUAGAAAAGUUACAAGGCUCCAGCACAAAAGUCCAACGUAUAAUUGAAAGGGUUAAUAAAUAAGAAAGCAAGAGCACGUUUCCUCCUCGUCUUCCUUCUCCAUCUCCAUAUAAGACCAAAGCAUACUGACCCUCCUUGCUGCUGUAAACCAGCACAACUGUUACCAUCAAAUCAGACAACAUAUUUUGUGGAUUGAGACUUGGAUAUGAGAGUUAUAUUCAAAUCAUCCCCACUUGCAAUCAAUUCUCGAGCAACGCUAUUUAUCAGACGGAUUGUGACACCAGAACUAACACCUGCAUAUGCAGUGGCCUCCCACCUCAUCAUCUUCUGUCUAACCAUGCCCUAUCCCAUGGGCGGUUAAUCUUCAUCAUCAUCAAUGGUGGUGGUUGAGUUUCUGUAGCUUGUAACUCUUGUGGGUAGCUUCCUCCUCAUCCUUACUGUUGGAAAGUAGACAAUGUCGUCUUUUUCAGCUGUCCAUCGGUACGUAGUGACAAGAUGGUGAAGGAAGAUUGAUAUUUCAAGCCUGGAUAGUUCUAGUCCAGGGCACAGCCUCUGUCCUCCACCAAAAGGCGUAAAGCAGUUGUUAACAGCAGCUACUGUUUUCUCCCAUCUCCAAGGAUCAAAGUGACAGGGGUUAUCAUAAUUUUCUUUGUCCAUAUGAACAGAAGUAAACGAUGCCAAGACACACCAUCCUUGUGGAAUCAAAUUGCCUUUAAUUUCUACAUCUUUGAGAGCUUUCCUCCAAACCCCAUUAAUGAUAUUUGCCAUUCUAAGAGUUUCAUUGAUCACAUUUUGAGUAAAUCGCAAGGACAUGUAGUCUGUCCAAUUAUAAUCCUCACAAGAUUCAGUCUUGUGCCUCUUCAAUUCCAUGUUCUCCUUCUACACAUAUUAGCACAAAAAUUUUAUAAAAAAAUUACAUGCAAAAUUUAUUUAAUGUCAGCUUCAAUCUGACAGUAAAUUUUGUUUUCCUACUUAUUUUUUUUAAAAAAGAAAAGACAAAUGGACUGUAAUGUGAUAAAAGCUGAAAAAUCUAACUUACUAAAAAGGUAGGCAAACAAGUUAAAGCAAGGUAGGUAAAUAAGUUACAAGUGAGGUACACUAUGACAAGAAAUGAAUUGCAACCCUAACUCCAUUAUCAGGCAUUUCUUGCAUAAACAUGGUAAGGGAACCUUGCUGUACACAAGUACACAGAUGUAGCAGAAAGGUAGCAUAUAUGAAGAAAGCUUGAGAAUUAUUUUUUUUCACCUACCUUUUCCUUAUUUCGAUUUUAAUGUCCAGCAUAGGCCCUGAACCUUCUCUUCCAUACAUAUCAUAGAUACUGUAAGUGCACAGGGUUUUCCAUCACCAUAACUACACCUUUUACAUGUAUAUUCCAAGUCACUGAUUCAACUUGCCAGUCCUCGUUUGUCUCCUUCGCAUACUUCUUCGUCAAUUGCCUUAGAGCAGCGGGGCAGUCACUGAGGAAUUUCACAGCUAGUGUCAUUGCCAUGGGUACAGUCUCUUCUCCUGGGAUCAUCAUCUCUAAUAUGUUGCCACUAAUGAAAUCCAACGGCAGAGAUUGCAUAUCAUUUGCUCCACCAUACUCACGUAAAAGCAAGUCCACUGUAUCUUCAAUAUUACCCUUUUCAUCUGAUCUUUCCUUGGCUAUUUUCCUUUCCUCUACGAUCUUCUUCACCAUCUUCAGUAGCUUCUCCUUGGCCUUUAAAGAUUUAUAUAGUCUGGUUCCUGGGAAUUUGAUUGGUAAACAGAUUAAACCUUUGAUGAAUUCUUCGAAUUCUUUCUUUAAAAAGUCUAGAUCUUGGCCUGGACCAACGCUCAUUAAUACUUUUACCAAAACUUGGAAGGUAAUCUUUUUGGUUUCUUCUUGGACGAGUAUAAGAUCCAUGUCCUGCCAAGUAGACAAUGUGAGUUUGACAAAGCUUUCAAUGUCUUUGGUAAUUGUGGAUUUGAAAUGUGGUGAUCUCAAGAAGCCGCCAAUAAGUGCAUGAAGUUUCUUCUGCAUAUUUCCAUUCAUUUGAAGUAUAGAAAACUCUCCAAGCAAAAUCCUGAUUGAUUUAGGAUAAGCAGGGAUGAACACAUUGCCAUGGUUUUGUAAAACCACUUUGUUCACCUCUGGAUCUGUGGACACUAUGAUGGGUGUUCCAAGAAUAUGAGUUUUAAACACCUCUCCAUAUAGAGAUUUUCGUUUGUCCAUGAAAGUAACAGGCUGAGAGGUGUAACCACAGGAAAUGAACUCCAGAGUUUCACCAAGGAAAGGCCAACCCAAGUUUCCCUUUGGAAUAAUACCUUGACAUUUCUUUUCUAUUUUUUUAUUCUCCUUCAAGAAGAACCACCAACACCACCAUCCCAAAAGAAAAAGAAAACCCAUGAAAAUCCAAGAAUCCAUAUCUUUAUUCUUGUCUGAAAACCCUAGCAAAGACAUGGGGUGAAGCAGAAAGUCCAUGCAGGGUAGAGGGAGAUGAAGGGAAGAAAGAAAAGUUAAUAAUGUCCUUGGAAGCUAGAGAAAAAUUAAGAGGGGACAUGGAAAUCUAGAAUGGAUCUGGAGCUACAAAUCAUUUAAUGAGGUUGGCCAUAUCGGGUGCACCGAAUGCUCCAAAGCUCAUUCAUUUUGUCUCCACUCCAUUUAGAUAGGUAUAAGCUUUAAUCUUCACACUGUUUUAUGCCUCAAU